ACAACGACAACAACAACAACUGCGACAAUAAACAAUAAACAAUGCCAAGUCCGAGGGACAGUUAUCGACCCAGAGACGGAGCCAAGGUCGUAAUUAAACAACGCCCCAACUCCCAAUUGUCACACGUCAAAACUUGGUAGCUGCGACUACGUAAAUAGACCUAAAUAAGAGCCCAGCUAAACCUGACUAAAUCUGACAGUACCAAAAACCUAACCUAACUUUCCAAAUGGUUCAAUUUUGGUUGGAGCUCGGUUCCAGGGCCAACUAUUUGUUUACUUGAGCAGCUGCUAUCGCUCGGCAAAUUGAUUUAUUUAUAAUAUCGCUAAACAGAAUUUCAUUUAUUGUAUCUCAGGUGUGGUCAGGAGGGUGUCGAGCUGCAUUGUCACGAGUUAGCAACCGCUGCCGCUGCCGCUGCCGCUGCUGCUGGGCACAAGCAUGACGUCAUGGAGGCAAAUUUUGAGCAGCAUUUUGUGUGGCGCGUGUGAAACAAAGCGCGGCAAAGACGAGUUUGGUGGUUUUACCCAUUCACCCAUUCGCAUUCGGAUGCCAAGAAAAAUUAACAACAACAACAACAGCAAUAAAUCGAAAGAAAAGCGAAAUGUGAAUGACUUGGACAUUGGUGAAAAGAAAAUUUGGAAAUUGUACGGUGUUGCCGUGCCGGAUUUUAGACACAAGAAUUUUGAUUCGGACAGGCUUGCCAGAAAGUUAAUGGCAUGUCCAAUAACAAGAUCGAGCACUCACUUGGUUCCGUUUGCAGCUGACGUCACGUUCACCUGUGAUUGACGUCCAAGCGUGGAAAAAGACACAAACAGCCAACACAUAACAUUUUACGCUGCUGGGGGCAUACAAAAAAAAAUAACCAGAAAGCUCGAGUUCAUUAAUAAGGCAUAUGGCAGAGGCCUUGAACCGUCAUCCGAAUGGCCCUGCGACGUCAUUGGCCGUGUUGCUUCUCUGUUUGACCUUUGGAGCAACAGGAGGAAACAGCGUGUGACGUCAUCGAGAGCAGGCUACGUAACCAUUACAGCAGUUUACGUCAAUGCGCAAGCUCUCAAAUGGCGUUAGCUCUCUCUUACAUGUUCGUUCUUACGCACUCUAGCCCAUCUCACCCUGUCUGGCAACCCUUUGCGUUGGCGGCGGCCUACGUGCACUGGUGAAUGUGCGUAGGUCUGUGAACACCGGGUGGUCCCCCUUCGGUUCCGGGGUUGGUGAAGCUUGCAGUUGCUACGUAGGUGGCUGCCAAAUGCAUGUCACGGCAAAAAGCGUACCAUUCCCACACUGAACUUGAACUGCCGCCUGGAACCGGAAUUCUUGCUAAUUUUAGAUGCCCUUCGUAGUGCUGAUUAAAUUAAAACGUACAUAGCUCAAUAAUCACACA